CCUCGGCGAUAGCCAUGUCUGCCCGAUACCAGGACACGGCACCACCUCCAUCGUUUCCGCCUCUUCCAACGU
rnacentral:sRNA from 1 species